rnacentral:rRNA from 1 species
GUAGGAGGCAAACGUUAUCCGGAUUUACUGGGCGUAAAGCGCGUGUAGGUGGUACUGUAAGUAGGGCGUGAAAGCUCCUGGCUCAACUGGGAGAGGCCGUUCUAAACUACAGAACUAGAGGAUGGUAGAGGGAGGUGGAAUUCCAGGUGUAGCGGUGGAAUGCGCAGAUAUCUGGAGGAACACCGGUGGCGAAGGCGGCCUCCUGGACCAUUCCUGACACUCAGACGCGAAAGCUAGGGUAGCAAACGGGAUUAGAGACCCCGGUAGUCCUAGCCCUAAACGAUGUAGACUAGGCGUCGGAAGCUUAAUCGCUUUCGGUGUCCAAGCUAACGCGAUAAGUCUACCGCCUGGGGACUACGGCCGCAAGGUUAAAACUCAAAGGAAUUGACGGGUCCCCGCACAAGCAGCGGAGCGUGUGGUUUAAUUCGUUGCUACACGAAGAACCUUACCUGGGUUUGACAUAGCAGUGGUAGGGAAGCGAAAGCGGACCGACCCUUCGGGGAGCUGUUACAGGUGUUGCAUGGCUGUCGUCAGCUCGUGUCGUGAGAUGUUCGGUUAAGUCCGCUAACGAGCGCAACCCGCGUUGUGUGUUACAAGUGUCACACAAUACCGCCGGUAUUAAGUCGGAGGAAGGUGCGGAUGACGUCAAGUCAGCAUGACCUUUAUAUCCAGGGCUACACACACGCUACAAUGGUCAGUACAAUAGGUUGCCAAGCCGCGAGGCGGAGCCAAUCCUAAAAAGCUGGCCUCAGUUCAGAUUGCAGUCUGCAACUCGACUGCAUGAAGUUGGAGUUGCUAGUAACCGCAGGUCAGCUAUACUGCGGUGAAUACGUUCCCGGGGAUU